rnacentral:rRNA from 1 species
UACGUAGGGGGCGAGCGUUGUCCGGAUUUAUUGGGCGUAAAGAGCUCGUAGGCGGUUGGGUAAGUCGGGUGUGAAAACUCAGGGCUCAACUCUGAGACGCCACUCGAUACUGCUCUGACUCGAGUCCGGUAGGGGAGCGUGGAAUUCCCGGUGUAGCGGUGAAAUGCGCAGAUAUCGGGAGGAACACCAGUGGCGAAGGCGGCGCUCUGGGCCGGAACUGACGCUGAUACGCGAAAGCCAGGGGAGCAAACGGG